rnacentral:misc_RNA from 1 species
AAAAAAACAAAAACAAACAAAAAAGAGAAGAGAAAUUAUGGCAACUCAAGCAUUGAUCUCUUCAUCAUCAAUUAGCACUUCAGCUGAAGCUGCAAGACAAAUUAUUGGAUCAAGAAUUUCACAAUCUGUUACUAGAAAAGCUUCUUUUGUUGUAAGGGCUGCUUCCACUCCACCAGUCAAGCAAGGAGCAAAUAGGCAACUCUGGUUUGCAUCCAAACAAAGCCUUUCAUACUUGGAUGGAAGUCUUCCCGGUGACUUUGGUUUUGAUCCCUUGGGACUCUCGGACCCUGAAGGCACAGGAGGUUUCAUCGAGCCGAAAUGGCUAGCAUAUGGCGAGGUCAUCAAUGGUCGGUUCGCCAUGUUAGGAGCUGCAGGGGCAAUAGCACCAGAGAUUCUUGGAAAAGCUGGUCUCAUCCCACAAGAAACAGCACUUGCAUGGUUCCAAACUGGUGUUAUCCCACCAGCAGGAACAUACAACUACUGGGCUGACAAUUACACAUUGUUUGUUCUUGAAAUGGCACUCAUGGGCUUUGCUGAGCACA